ACACACACACACACACACACACACACACACACACACACACACACAGCAUGAACUGACACGUUGGCCGACCAAUCAUAGGCGCCCUUAGAACCCACCAAUCAGAGCCCGCCCAGAGCUUCAUAUAUAUCCCUUGGGUUUGCUUCCUCUCCCCAAUUUGAGCUCAGGGACUAGAAGCGCAGCAGGAAACGCGAACACAACGAGGUCAGUUGUACAAAUCUCGUGGAAGUUAAUCCCGUGGACGCUUGUGGACCGGGGACACGCAAGCUCCCUCCAUAGCGGGACUUAUAACGUCCAGGGGCGCAGCCGUUUGUGUGGGUCUUAGAGGAAGCGCAGAGGAAUGUCUGUCGUUAGGUGAGAUGCGGUGACACGAUUUCAGAAACACGGAUGUCAUCGUUUCAAAGAUUGAUCUGCAUGCGAUGCAAUCUGGAUGUACACACAGCCAAGGACAAUUGUAUUCUACGAUCCAGCACCAAAAUACCGUUGGACCUCGGUCAUCAGGGACUCCACCACCAACAGGAGUCACAGGCGAGGACGGUGAGCACUGGAUCUCAGCCGCCCACACUGGCCAAUACAAAGACUGCCUUCAAUCCAUCAGCACAUGUCACCGCCGGGCACAGCGGUUGUUAUGGGACAUCGAAUCAUGGUUGCUCUGUAAGACCAUCUGUUAAUGAAAGUGAACAACGAAGGGAAUGUUCAAAGGGACAAUUUAGUAGACGUUUUCUGAAUGCGUCAAAUUUGAACAAGACUGGACUGCAGCAAAGAAAACAUUUGACUUGUGAAUUUUCUGCUGGUGGCAAAUCUGCAGCGCUCCAGGAAGACUGCCUUGACGUAGCAAAGACCCCUCCUAAAGUUCAAGGUUCUUCUAUGACUGCACAGGAAAGGUGUCCACUGCUGUUGGAAUUAAGGACGGGAAACCUGCUUGAAUCCAAAUCCUUUUUCACCAGCGGCUCUUGCCCAGAGGAAGCCAAUGCCAACAUGGAACUCAAUACAGUUAUUCAUGAUGCUGAGCGAGGACCCCAUGGAUGUCUUCCAGUUGAAGGUUCACUAACUGCUCUAGACUGUGGGCAGACGAGAACACAAGCCCUACAUCAUUUGGAGUUUCCUUCUGUGCCGGUGUCUCCUCCCUCUCACAGGCUCCAGACAUCUAACCACAACAAAAAAACAAAACCGCCUACAAAGAAAGCCAUACAUGCCAUUAUUGAAAAAAAGCUUGCGUUGUAUUCUGAAUAUUUAAUGCUUAAAAAACAAAAUAACUCCAUGCUGCUGUCAAUGCAGUCCCAUCUCUACACAACGGCAGCUUCCAAGGAAGAUGUGGCGAGGCAAGAUAAGUGUGUCGCUACUGAAGAGCCCUCUGCUGCAGCUGGGAAAGCACUUGAAGAAGAGGAAGCUUCUAAAAGCAGCAUGCCAAAUGAUCCUUCUACAGCUGCUUCGGAGAAACCUUCAACAGAAUAUCCACAAAUGCUGAAAGUUGCUGCCACUUCCACAAAGAAUGAAGCUGAGAGUCUCGGGGUUCUCACAGCAGUGCCUGGAACAACCUGGAAGGACCAGAGGAAGAAGCGGCCCAGUUUCCAGCUCAACCGCAACUUGUCACAAGAAGAAUCCAGGCGUUUGUGGUUAAAUGUCAACACAUAUUCGGAUGACGUGGAAAUAGGGCCUGGUGUCUGUACCGAGAGGGAGAAGGGAUAUGCAGCCCUGAACACUGUGGAGACUGUAGGAUCGGACAAUACAAAGGUUAUUGCUGAUCAUACCAAGUCAAGUUCAGAGUCCGGUCCCAUGGCCUUCGGAUUGUCAUCACUCUCGGAAUAUCAAAAAGCAAAGAAAAAGAUUAACCAUGAGAAUUCUCAUCAUCACAUCUGUAAGGAAGGAACUGCAACUUCAAAUUCUUCAGUUUGUAAAACUGCCAUUCUUAAUAUGCUAUCAAUUCCUACAAACCAAAGUGAACAGCAGAGCAGCCAAACGAGGCGUGCGAGGGAGGACGCUGCUUUUGCAAGUUCACAAGCUAUCUCCGGCACAUCAGUACCCAUUAAGGCGCUCCAAAAACCUGCUCUGCUAUGUGAAGGAAAGGCUGAGAAAGCAUAUGAACUGUAUGAAGACAUUUCAGAUGAUGACAUGCCACAUUUGACCGCCAAACUACCAAACACCGAUCGAUGGGAAUUAAGCUCUCCUGCAAGUUUUGAUGACACAAGUGAAGCAGAAAGUAAGGCUGUAGAAACCGCUACGCCUACUCUUGUAACUGCAACCAGCGACAGGCACUCCCCAGGACAUGGACACGUGCAGGGUCAUGAUUACAUUGACACACUUGCUAUAGCACAACAUUCUCGCUCUUGCUCAUUUUAUUUUGAAACGGAUGAUGGUUUUGAAAGGAGGUUCUGUCCUAAAUGUGAUUGUGGGAGACAAACGGUCCCCUCUGCUUCAUGCAGUCCGUCCUUUGUUUUGAACAGUGAGGAUGAGACUGACGACGAAAUGGAUGACUAUUUAGCCAUACCUAUAAGCGUAAUCCAUCUUAAAUAUGCACCAGAAGAUGAAAACCAGGAUAGCUCCGAAACAAAUGUCCUAGAAGUGGUGGAAACGGGAGCCCAAGAAAGACCGAGGGGCGCAAGUCAAACUGCUUUUCCUUCGCUGCCGGUGUUUGACACGGAGGAGUGCUUCCUGCGAGCUGUGCAAUGCGAGUUUACGUUGGGCAGUAGCCCCCUUGUACAUGAAACGGACUCUGAGGAAGCUGUAUCAACACCUCAGAAGAGAAGAGAGUCUGUAGACAGCUCUGACACUGUGGACAGUUGUGAUUACUCCUCUGCAUCAGAACACAACUUUUUGACUGUGCCCAGGAAGAUGAUGAGGAAAGGCUCAGCAACUGUGCCCUCAGCGACAGAUGAUUUUAUGUCUGAAGAAGAGGGUAAGGACAAUAGGGUCACAAAUAUCCUAAAAGACCAAAUGAGCCCUAAAGGGGCUAAACCUAGACGGAUGUCUGAAGCCAAACACAGUGGCUCCAAGCAGAUUUCAACUGUAGAGAGGGAGGACAUAAUAGUCUUGGAUUCUGACACGGAGGAUGAAAGUGUUGAAAUAUGCAAAGCCACUCUUAAAAGAAAGCGGAAACGAGGGUGCACAGCAAGCGCAGACAUUGCUGAUGCCUCAUGCAGUCAACAAAAGAGACAUUCGCCUAGAACUGAAUCUCAAAAGAACACACAUGCAUCUGCUUGCUCACCAACAGCACCACGCCAAUCCAGAGAUGAUGCGGUGUAUGAAGAAGAGAUGCAGGACACGUUCGCUGAUGUGUCACAGAGUACAGGGAAGAGGGAGCAGUUUAUUCAAACCAAAGAUGUUCAACACAAGACCCACAUACAAAAGAGUUCCGCAGUAGAGGGGGUAAUAAUAAUCAUCGACUCUGAUGCAGAGGAUGACAACCCCCAAAACUGUGAAGAGUUUAGCAGGGAAAUAUCUGCCGUCUCAGCCAACGGCAAGGCCCCACGUGUUGGAUUCGAAACUGCGUACAGAGGGUGUGGACCUGCUGAGGCAAAGCUCCAAGAAACUGGACUUUCUUUAGCAGACUCGCCACAACGCCAGUCUGACCUUCAUGACACACAUUUCAGAGGAGCAACAGAGGCUGCGUGCUCCUACCUGUCUCUCAGUCAGCAGCUGGUAGAAGCUAAAGGGGUCUCUGCGCAGGUACCGCACCAGGCACACAAACUAUUGUCAAAAAGCGUGGUAGGUCAUCAUGCUUCUAAAGAAGUGGUUAAAGGCAAUUCCAGCAAAAAGGCCAUUCCAGAAGAAAUUACCUCAUCAGGAUCAGAUGGUAACCGUGAUGUUACACAAAGCAGAUCAGGUGAAUCUGCCAGGAUUCAGGCAGGUGAAUCUGCAGACCGUCUUUGUGGAACUGCUAAUGCAGAGCCUGUGAUCCCUCGCUUUCUUGCACAGCCUUCUGGAAACACAGCAUGCUUGACACUUUUAAGAGAACCUGUAGUUCACAAGCCGCGUAAAGAUAAAUCUCUGUCAGUCCAGACCCCCACUUCAUCCAGCAAAAAGGAAGGCCCAUCCACCUCCUUCAUUAGUUCGUCCUCCGCAGGUGAACAUUGUCAUGUAGGCAAACAAAGGUCUGCUUACUCAAAAGGUUUGUCUCCACUAAAGGGCUUUAGUCUUCCAUUUAAUCCCAGAGAACAAUCGUGUCCACCUAAACGGCGGUGGUCUUACAGCAGCCCUGCAACGUCAUCCAAGCCCACAAAAGGCCCAGCACAGACCGUGCAGCUCAAUGCCACUGGCUAUGUAAAGGAACAAGUGAAUGGCGCGUCUCCAAACAGUCCUUUGUCACGCGACAUCAGACGCAGACCUGGUCUCCAUGACAAGCCUGGUAGGGAAAGGGCUCCCAGAAAGAAGCGCCAGUCCCACAAGACUCCAACCACCAUGAUGAAGAAAGCCACCAAUGAUGCCAUUCAGUGGACAAAGAACAGAAAACAGGCCUCCCAAAAAGAAAGAAACUCAGUGGGUGAGGGUUACAAGUGGGCAGAGAAGUCAAACGUGGCAAAGCCAACCAAAGCUAUCCUCGUAGGUCCCAGCAGGGAGAGGAAGGGGAGAUGA
ensembl:lncRNA